GACGAACGCUGGCGGCGUGCCUAAUACAUGCAAGUCGAACGCUUCUUUUCCCACCGGAGCUUGCUCCACCGGGAAAAGAGGAGUGGCGAACGGGUGAGUAACACGUGGGUAACCUGCCCAUCAGAAGGGGAUAACACUUGGAAACAGGUGCUAAUACCGUAUAACAAUCGAAACCGCAUGGUUUCGUUUUGAAAGGCGCUUUACGGUGCCGCUGAUGGAUGGACCCGCGGUGCAUUAGCUAGUUGGUGAGGUAACGGCUCACCAAGGCCACGAUGCAUAGCCGCCCUGAGAGGGUGAUCGGCCAAAUUGGGACUGAGACACGGCCCAAACUCCUACGGGAGGCAGCAGUAGGGAAUCUUCGGCAAUGGACGAAAGUCUGACCGAGCAACGCCGCGUGAGUGAAGAAGGUUUUCGGAUCGUAAAACUCUGUUGUUAGAGAAGAACAAGGGUGAGAGUAACUGUUCACCCCUUGACGGUAUCUAACCAGAAAGCCACGGCUAACUACGUGCCAGCCGCCGCCGUAA
rnacentral:rRNA from 1 species